GACGAACGCUGGCGGCGUGCCUAAUACAUGCAAGUUGAGCGCUGAAGGUUGGUACUUGUACCAACUGGAUGAGCAGCGAACGGGUGAGUAACGCGUGGGGAAUCUGCCUUUGAGCGGGGGACAACAUUUGGAAACGAAUGCUAAUACCGCAUAAAAACUUUAAACACAAGUUUUAAGUUUGAAAGAUGCAAUUGCAUCACUCAAAGAUGAUCCCGCGUUGUAUUAGCUAGUUGGUGAGGUAAAGGCUCACCAAGGCGAUGAUACAUAGCCGACCUGAGAGGGUGAUCGGCCACAUUGGGACUGAGACACGGCCCAAACUCCUACGGGAGGCAGCAGUAGGGAAUCUUCGGCAAUGGACGAAAGUCUGACCGAGCAACGCCGCGUGAGUGAAGAAGGGUUUCGGAUCGUAAAACUCUGUUGGUAGAGAAGAACGUUAGUGAGAGUGGAAAGCUCAUCAAGUGACGGUAACUACCCAGAAAGGGACGGCUAACUACGUG
rnacentral:rRNA from 1 species